GACGAACGCUGGCGGCGUGCUUAACACAUGCAAGUCGAACGAGAAUCUGCGGAAAGAGGAUUCGUCCAAUUGAAGCAGAGGACAGUGGCGGACGGGUGAGUAACGCGUGAGGAACCUGCCUUUCAGAGGGGGACAACAGUUGGAAACGACUGCUAAUACCGCAUAACAUAUAGAUGUCGCAUGGCAUUUAUAUCAAAGAUUUAUCGCUGAAAGAUGGCCUCGCGUCUGAUUAGCUAGUUGGUGAGGUAACGGCCCACCAAGGCGACGAUCAGUAGCCGGACUGAGAGGUUGAACGGCCACAUUGGGACUGAGAUACGGCCCAGACUCCUACGGGAGGCAGCAGUGGGGAAUAUUGGGCAAUGGGCGCAAGCCUGACCCAGCAACGCCGCGUGAACGGAAGAAGGCUUUCGGGUUGUAAACUUCUUUGUCAGGGACGAGUAGAAGACGGUACCUGACGAAUAAGCCACGGCUAACUACGUGCCAGCAGCCGACGG
rnacentral:rRNA from 1 species